AGGCUAAGCAUGAAUGUCGACCUCGCCGAACAGGUGGAGGAGGAGCCAGAGGAGGAGCCAGAGGACGUAGCUGAGGAAGAUGAUGUCGAAGAAGACAUAGACGCUGAGGAUGACGAGACCGAGAAGGACACAGCCUCCACAGAAAAGGACGAGCUCUGAGAGAUUGAAAAACCGAGUGGGGCAGGGUGUGACUGACUUGGGUGGGGGCGGAACUUUGUGUCUCCUUGACGACGGAUCUUUGCCAUGGGGGGGGGGGGGGGGUGGAUGCUGAAAGGGGAUUGGACAGGGUUGGGAGAGGGGGAGGGUUUUUUAGGCACUGCUUGUGUUUGAAAUUGUGUUUUCUUUUUGUUUUUUACAUUCCUCAUGACUGUAAAUUUGUUAAUAUUUAACGGAGCUGGUUAUGGAGUUCUGAAUUCCUGUCACGUGAACCAUUAAAUGUUUACGAAAAGGGAAA